rnacentral:rRNA from 1 species
AUUGAACGCUGGCGGCAGGCCUAACACAUGCAAGUCGAACGCGUGGCGGACGGGUGAGUAAUGUCUGGGAAACUGCCCUAUGGCUGGGGAUAACUACUGGAACCGGUAGCUAAUACCGCAUACCAUCGGAUGUGCCAAGAUGGGAUUAGCUAGUAGGUGGGGUAACGGCUCACCUAGGCAACGAUCCCUAGCUGGUCUGAGAGGAUGACCAGCCACACUGGAACUGAGACACGGUCCAGACUCCUACGGGAGGCAGCAGUGGGGAAUAUUGCACAAUGGGCGCAAGCCUGAUGCAGCCAUGCCGCGUAUAUGAAGAAGGCCUUCGGGUUGUAAAGUACUGUCAGCGGGGAGGCGUUACCCGCAGAAGAAGCACCGGCUAACUCCGUGCCAGCAGCCGCGGUAAUAC